GCCAUCCGAUCCGCCACCGGAUUUGAUGGAUCGCGUCUCGUCUAGUGCUAUCGUUUCUCUUUCCCUCUUUAUUACUACCUACGUCUUUAUUGUACGAACGUAUGCGAACCUGUUUCAUCUAAGCAAAGAUCACGAGUACGGUAAUAUCAUAUGGAUAAUUUCAAGGACUCACCUGAGGAUAACGAUUGAUUCCGUUUAUACUGUUGUGUGGAUGUGGAUAGGGUUGAUAACCUCUGCUAGCACCAGGAUAGAUGUUCCUCAUCAUGGCACCUUGGCACGCGGGUAUCGGAAAGAAGACGUUAUCGCCAAUCCUGUGCCAGAAGACUCAAGCAGCCGCUUCAAGCAGCUUCUAAAUCGGACCACGUGACUUCUGCACAUGCGUAUUAUAUGAAUAAAACGUUCUAUUACGUUUUGCUUCUGUUUUACCGACGGAUCACAUCACAAUUUACAGUUAAUUCGUAUGUACCGACAUCAGCGUAUGUAACUACAGCGACGGAUAUGGACAAAAAAUGAACUACAUGUGCAAUAGGGAAACACUGUCCUCACCAUGCGCCCAUUGUGCAUCGGUGUAUAAGCUUAUGUAAUUAUGACUUUACUC